ensembl:lncRNA
GAUUGUUUGCAGAUAAUGCUGUUCUUCUUUUUCAGAAGUUUUUGGUGAGCCAACUCUCACAAACCUUCCUAAAAACUAAAAGAGCUAUUACUGAGUCUCGGCUAAUCUUGCCAUGGUCAGCUCUUCCCAGAAGAGAAGGAAGACCAAGGAAAUUAUUUGCUCAGGAUGAGAAAUGAAGAUGGCCAUCUUGUGCUCAAACAAACAGAAGUCCUCUGAUGAUCUCAUCAGCCAAAUGAGGGGUUUUGACCAAGUGAUGCUCUUGAAAGGAGUGAAAGAAGAGGAUGUGGUAAAUUGUCUUAAAGCAGCUUGAAGAAUGGUCUGGGAUGUUAGGACUGAGAGAUCCUCUGACUGAGAGAAGCUACACCACAUCAGUGCUGGAUAUCAACCACAAACUGUUUCCAGACACGAGAGAAGAAGAUCAUGAUGGGGAGAUGAAACCAGUUUAGAUGUGAUGAUAAGGAAUCAUUAUUUUCUGAAACAGGAUCAAAUGUCUUAUAUGUAUCACAUGAUCUGUAUCACAGUUGACUGGAUGGGACUGUGUGACUCUUUAAGUACAUUUCAUCACUCAUCUGUGUGAACUGAUUAAUAUAUGAGGUUAAUGUAUUUUUGAUUAUGAAUAAUUAUUUUCCUUGAAUCUUAUUUGUCUUGAUGCUACUUUAUCAUCUGUAUAGUCUAUGCUUCAAUAAAAUGAAAAUUGUGAAUAUUGUGUUCUGAAGAUUCUUGGUAAACACAUCAUUUUACUAGGUAGGCUCAUAUGUGUUUAUUU